CAUUUCAUAACCGUUUUAUAAGACUCCUAUGAAAUUCAUAAUCAUCCGUAUUAAUUACAUACCUAUGCCUUAUGAAUCCCAAUAUUAUUCCUUAUGAAUAAAAAUCAUAAGGCAAUCUUAUGGAGCAAUAUGUUCAUGUGUUCAUCCACCGGAAAAUAUUAUCGCCAUUGUUUUUGUUUUGCAUUCCGGUCGACCAAGUUAUUUUUCCAAAUUUUUAAUUUCUGCACGUUUUUGGGCAACCGUCCGUUAUCAGAUACAGAUUUGAUCCAGAUACCGACGGAUCUGUCAGUAUAAAAUGUAAUUUUACCGAAAAUACAUCUGCGACAUCAGUUUGGAUCUUCCGGCUCACAAUGCUUGCUGCUUGGUUUUUCCAUUUCAAUGGUAAUUUCUGGAAGUCACCUAAUUAUGAUAGAUGCUGGAGCUGACCCGAAAACUUAUGCUGGAAGUGGGAACUCCGGCAGACGGUAGCGAUUGAUUCGCCACAACAGACAUCCGACAGCUGCGAACAUCCCUUUUUCUGGUCAAACUGAUCGACAAAACACAGCCUAAAACAGCCAGUUCUGGGGCAUUAAUCGCUUCACAUUGCCACCAAAUUGGCUAACGUACGGUGAAAUACGGAAAUCAGAAAACAGCGGAAGCAGUCCUAGCAAAGAGAGGACUGUUCGUGAUGGCAAGUUCAACGUGUAUUCGAUAGACAAGGGACUGGCAUCGGUUGUGGAAAGCAGUUCAUAGUGGAUUUGUACAUCCCGAGGUGCUGCAGAGUGCAGGAGCCGGACGACAUUAUUAGCGGAGUAUCAAGCAGUUUGCGGAUUGGGCCCAUCAUUUUCUAUCAAUUGCAUCAAUUUUCCCUCAACCGGCAAUGGGUCAACCGAAGCCAAUAAGGAUGCCGAUAGUAUUGGCAACGGUACGAAUAAAACAGGCAAUUCGAAAUUGUUCCAAGCUCGAUCAGCUAUAAAGCCGGUGGAGGUGGAGGAGCGUUUUCGGACGGUGGAUUCACGCGACAAUAAAGUUCACAACCGAUCGGAUCACGAAUAUCUGGAUGGCAAGCUGGAUGGUCAAAACAACGAGGGAACGUGCGAAAAUGUGCAUCUGGAUAAGGAACGGCAUAUGGGAGAGGGCAAGCUCAAGUGACGUCGUACGCAGCCGGGAAAAGCUAGCAACAGAUGAGCCACGAAAAGGUGAUCACACAAUACUCGGAUCAGAAGGCUCCAUUGGCGUUCUCAAAGGAUUCCUUGAGGCAUUCCCAAAGGAUUAAUUUACGCAUUCCCGAAUGAUUCGCUUAAGAAUUCUCAAGGGAAUUUAUAAGCGAAUCCUUUAUAGAUUUUGAUUCCAAAGUAAAUCCUUUAGGGAUUCCAACUGUGAUUCUUUCGGUAAUGGGAAAAUAAUCCUUAAGGGAUUCGAAAAGGAAUCCUUCGAAUAUUUCCAGAGAAUUCUGAUUCCGAUGAAAAUCCUUGAGUGAUUCCGACAGGGAUACCGACGGGAAUUCUUUAGGGAUUUUAGGGAGUUCUUUCUUUAGGAAUUCUUUUAGGGAUUCUGAAGGGGAACCUUUCAGGAUUUCGACGGGAAUACUUUAGGCACCUUUAGGGAUUCAGACGGGAAUACUUUAGGGAAUCCGACAGAAACCUCCUAAGGCAUUCCGACGGGAAUCUUGAAUCGAUUUUGACGGGAUCCUUCAGGAAUCCUUCAGAUAUUCCAAUGGGAAUGCUUUAAUGAUUCUAACGGGAAUCCUUUAGGGAAUUCGAUGGGUAUACUUUAGGGAUUACGGCAGAAAUCUUUCAGGUAUUCCGACGGAAAUCUUUAAAGCAUUUUGACGAUAUUUUUUCGAUAAUCCGACGGGAAUUCUUCAGGGAUUCCAACAAGAAUUCUUUAGGGAUUCCGACGGGAAUGCAUUGGGAAUUCCUACGGAAAUCUUUUAGGAAUUACGGCGGGAAUUAUUAAGGAAUUCCGAUGAAAAUCCUUAGAGGAUUUUGACGGAAAUCUUUUCAAAAUUCUGACGGGAAUUCUUAAGGGACUCCGACGGGAAUACUUCAUUUCAGGAAUGGGAAAAUAAUCCUUAUAAGACCUUCAGAGAUUCCGAAAUUCAAAAUUAGGUAUCCCAACAGAUUUCAAAAUAAUUUUGCUCGAAAUCUCAAGAGGUGGAAUCUCAGAAGGAUUCUGUUCGGAUGUUUAGACAAA